rnacentral:rRNA from 1 species
CAAUAGCGUAUAUUAAGGUUGUUGCAGUUAAAAAGCUCGUAGUUGGAUUUGUGGCGUACGGUGUGUUCCGGGCACUUGUUGUCUGAGUAACCUGCUGUUGCCAUCCUUGGGUGGAACCUGUGUGGCAUUAGGUUGUCGUGCAGGGGAUGCCCAUCAUUUACUGUGAAAAAUUAGAGUGUUCAAAGCAGGCUUAUGCCGUUGAAUAUAUUAGCAUGGAAUAAUGAGAUAGGACCUUUUUGCUAUUUUGUUGGUUUGCGCAAAGAGGUAAUGAUUAAUAGGGACAGUUGGGGGUAUUCGUAUUCCAUUGUCAGAGGUGAAAUUCUUGGAUUUUUGGAAGACGAACUACUGCGAAAGCAUUUACCAAGGAUGUUUUCAUUAA